GAACGCUGGCGGCAGGCCUAACACAUGCAAGUCGAGCGGAUGAGUGGAGCUUGCUCCAUGAUUCAGCGGCGGACGGGUGAGUAAUGCCUAGGAAUCUGCCUAUUAGUGGGGGACAACGUUUCGAAAGGAACGCUAAUACCGCAUACGUCCUACGGGAGAAAGCAGGGGACCUUCGGGCCUUGCGCUAAUAGAUGAGCCUAGGUCGGAUUAGCUAGUUGGUGAGGUAAUGGCUCACCAAGGCGACGAUCCGUAACUGGUCUGAGAGGAUGAUCAGUCACACUGGAACUGAGACACGGUCCAGACUCCUACGGGAGGCAGCAGUGGGGAAUAUUGGACAAUGGGCGAAAGCCUGAUCCAGCCAUGCCGCGUGUGUGAAGAAGGUCUUCGGAUUGUAAAGCACUUUAAGUUGGGAGGAAGGGCAUUAACCUAAUACGUUAGUGUUUUGACGUUACCGACAGAAUAAGCACCGGCUA
rnacentral:rRNA from 1 species